UGAGUACGAGAUGCUACGGCAUUGAAGCAGUCUAUGUCAUACUUCCAAGAAAAGCUUGCACUGUCAUAAACAAAGAAUGCCUGUACCAUAACCGACACAGGUGGGUAGGUAGAGUAUACUAAGGGGCGCGAGAUAACUCUCUCUAAGGAACUCGGCAAAAUGACUCCGUAACUUCGGGAGAAGGAGUGCCUUAUUUUUAAGGUUGCAAUAACAAGAUCCAAGCAACUGUUUAUCAAAAACACAGGUCUCCGCUAAGUCGUAAGACGAUGUAUGGGGGCUGACGCCUGCCCAGUGCCAGAAGGUUAAAGAAGUUGGUUAGCAUUCGCGAAGCUGAUAACUGAAGCCCUGGUGAACGGCGGCUGUAACCAUAACGGUCCUAAGGUAGCGAAAUUCCUUGUCGGGUAAGUUCCGACCCGCACGAAAGGCGUAAUAAUUUGGAUACUGUCUCGGAGAGGGACUCGGUGAAAUAGACUUGUCUGUGAAGAUGCGGACUACCUGCACCUGGACAGAAAGACCCUAUGAAGCUUUACUGUAACUUGAAAUUGAAAUUGGACUUUAGUUGCGCAGGAUAGGUGGGAGGCGUUGAGAAUAUUCUUGCGGGAGUAUUGGAGCCAUCAGUGAGAUACCACUCUUCUAAUGUUAGAUUUCUAACUUUGUAUCAUUAUCUGGUCAAAGAACAGUUUCAGGCGGGCAGUUUGACUGGGGCGGUCGCCUCCUAAAGGGUAACGGAGGCGCACAAAGGUUUCCUCUGAACGAGUAGAAAUCGUAUCUAGAGUGUAAAGGCAUAAGGAAGCUUGACUGUGAGACCUACAAGUCGAGCAGGGACGAACGUCGGUCUUAGUGAUCUGACGGUGCUGAGUGGAAAGGCCGUCACUCAACGGAUAAAAGUUACUCUAAGGAUAACAGGCUGAUCUCCCCCAAGAGUUCACAUCGACGGGGAGGUUUGGCACCUCGAUGUCGGCUCAUCGCAUCCUGGGGCGGUAGUACGUCCCAAGGGUUGGGCUGUUCGCCCAUGAAAGCGGUACGCGAGCUGGGUUCAGAACGUCGUGAGACAGUUCGGUCCAUAUCCGGUGUAGGCGUUAGAAUAUUGAGAGGAGCCUUCUCUAGUACGAGGGGACCGAGAAGGACAUACCUCUAGUGUACCAGUUAUCGUGCCAACGGUAAACGCUGGGUAGCUAUGUAUGGAGUGGAUAACCGCUGAAAGCAUCUAAGUGGGAAGCCCACCUCAAGAUAAGUAUUCUC
rnacentral:rRNA from 1 species